rnacentral:rRNA from 1 species
AGUGAACGCUGGCGGUAGGCCUAACACAUGCAAGUCGAACGGCAGCACAGUAAGAGCUUGCUCUUACGGGUGGCGAGUGGCGGACGGGUGAGGAAUACAUCGGAAUCUACUUUUUCGUGGGGGAUAACGUAGGGAAACUUACGCUAAUACCGCAUACGACCUACGGGUGAAAGCAGGGGAUCUUCGGACCUUGCGCGAUUGAAUGAGCCGAUGUCGGAUUAGCUAGUUGGCGGGGUAAAGGCCCACCAAGGCGACGAUCCGUAGCUGGUCUGAGAGGAUGAUCAGACACACUGGAACUGAGACACGGUCCAGACUCCUACGGGAGGCAGCAGUGGGGAAUAUUGGACAAUGGGCGCAAGCCUGAUCCAGCCAUACCGCGUGGGUGAAGAAGGCCUUCGGGUUGUAAAGCCCUUUUGUUGGGAAAGAAAAGCAGCAGGUUAAUACCCCGCUGUUCUGACGGUACCCAAAGAAUAAGCACCGGCUAAGUUCGUG